rnacentral:rRNA from 1 species
UGACCUCAAAUCAGGUAGGAUUACCCGCUGAACUUAAGCAUAUCAA